CGCGGCCUAUCAGCUUGUUGGUGAGGUAACGGCUCACCAAGGCAAUGACGGGUAGCUGUUCUGAGAGGAAGAUCAGCAACACUGGAACUGAGACACGGUCCAGACACCUACGGGUGGCAGCAGUCGAGAAUCAUUCACAAUGGGGGCAACCCUGAUGGUGCAACGCCGCGUGGAGGAUGAAGGCCCUAGGGUCGUAAACUCCUGUCAUAUGAGAGUAAGGCAUAGAGGGAAUAAUACCCUUUUAUGUUUGAUAGUAUCAUAAGAGGAAGGGACGGCUAACUUCGUGCCAGCAGCCGCGGUAAUACGAAGGUCCCGAGCGUUAUUCGGAAUCACUGGGCGUAAAGAGUACGUAGGCGGUUUGGUAAGUCAGGUGUGAAAUCCCGGGGCUCAACCCCGGAACUGCACCCGAUACUGCCAGACUGGAGUAAUGGAGAGGCAGGUGGAAUUCUCGGUGUAGCAGUGAAAUGCGUGGAUAUCGAGAGGAAGACCAAUGGCGAAGGCAGCCUGCUGGACAUUUACUGACGCUGAGGUACGAAGGCCAGGGUAGCGAAAGGGAUUAGAUACCCCUGUAGUCCUGGCAGUAAACGGUGCGCGCUUGGUGUGGGAGGAUUCGACCCCUUCCGUGCCGGAGCUAACGCGUUAAGCGCCCCGCCUGGGGAGUACGG
rnacentral:rRNA from 1 species